UACAGAGGUGGCAAGCGUUGUUCGGAAUUACUGGGCGUAAAGGGCGCGUAGGCGGUUUCGUAAGUCCCGCGUGAAAGCCCCCGGCUCAACUGGGGAAUGGCACGGGAAACUGCGAGGCUUGAGUUCGGGAGAGGGAAGCGGAAUUCCGGGUGUAGCGGUGAAAUGCGUAGAUAUCCGGAGGAACACCAGUGGCGAAGGCGGCUUCCUGGACCGACACUGACGCUGAGGCGCGAAAGCUAGGGGAGCAAACGGG
rnacentral:rRNA from 2 species